UACGGAGGGGGUUAGCGUUGUUCGGAAUGACUGGGCGUAAAGCGCGCGUAGGCGGAUCGGAAAGUCGGGGGUGAAAUCCCGGGGCUCAACCCCGGAAUGGCCUUCGAAACUCCCGGUCUUGAGUUCGAGAGAGGUGAGUGGAAUUCCGAGUGUAGAGGUGAAAUGCGCAGAUAUCAGGAGGAACACCGGUGGCGAAGGCGGGUCUCUGGGCCGAUACUGACGCUGAGGAGCGAAAGCGUGGGGAGCGAACAGG
rnacentral:rRNA from 1 species